AUUGAGCCAUCCCGUUCCUCUUUAAAUUUAUUCUCAAAAAACAAACUAGUAUUCCAAAUAUGCUGCAGUUCCUCUAAUUAUUUUAAAUUAACUUCGCUCUAUUAUGUUUU